rnacentral:rRNA from 1 species
GCCUACGGGAGGCAGCAGUGGGGAAUUUUGGACAAUGGGCGAAAGCCUGAUCCAGCAAUGCCGCGUGCAGGAUGAGGGCCUUCGGGUUGUAAACUGCUUUUGUACGGAACGAAACGGUCUGCCCUAAUACGGUGGGCUAAUGACGGUACCGUAAGAAUAAGCACCGGCUAACUACGUGCCAGCAGCCGCGGUC